UCAUGUGAUAUGUGCACAUGUGCUGAAACAGGACACAAAAUGGACCCCUGUUGGUCAUGUUUUGGUCUUUUUUGCACUUUUAUUGAUUAGUAUUUGAGUUAUUCUAGAGAUAUGCUUGAUCAAUCAAUUUGUGCUUUAUUUUAUUAAAAACAAACUAAAAAUAGACCAUGUUGCCUGGAGGCAACACCGUACCAUAGAGGGUUAAGGUAUUCCUGUCAUUUCCAGUGACCACACAUCAUGUGGUGCGACCAAUAAAAGCAAUAACUGUAUAAAAUUAAAAAUAAAAUAUCGAAUUUCUGUGGCUGAAAUAUGAAUCACUGAUACAGUAUGCUUAAGUGAAUGGUAUUUUUAAAACAUUUUUAUCAGUUUUAUGUGAUUUACAGGGAAAAUAAGUGUUAAACUACAUUUAAAAAGGCCACUCUGAAGUUAUAGAACAAAAAUAUAAGGUAAUUCUUUACAGAAUCUCAAAAGAACUGCAAAUAUGUUGUUUCUAAAUACUUUACUGAGAACUUUCAAAAACAUGUUAAGCAUGUUAAGGAAAUUAAUUAAUUUUAAGAUAAAUCACGGACGCACCACAUGACAUUUUUUAACCAGUUCAACUCUGCGGCCUACCUCGGACCCACAUGUGGGUCCAAUAUUGCAUCAUCAUAAUUAUUUACAAAAAUCUAUAAAUUGUGGAGCACAAGACUAGACAUAUAGGGUAUCUUUUAAAAGCUUAGAACCUCAGCUUUCUAAAUUUAACCCCCCCACAACGACCCACCCUUGAAAAAAUCAUAUUCAUAAUAUUCAAAUUAAUAUUUAUAUCACACAAACUCACCAAACAUAGACAAGUCAUAUAUCAAAUGAAAGCUCUCACUCUCCAGAACAUCACUGCGUAGUUUAGUAACAAAAUUAUCAAAAGAAUCAUUAAGAUAAAAAUGACUCCUUUGAACAAGCCAAUACAUGAAUCAUAUUCCUGCUCCGAUCACUACUUCCUCGUGUUGCUACUAGCCUCACAUGCUAUAUCAGCUCGUUCUUUAGGUUGUUUUCUUCCAAAUGAGACUAUUUUCACUUGUCUGUGAGCAUGUAUGGCCAAAUGACACUGCAAUAUGUCUCAUAUGUGCAGAUCUAAACAUGUGAUGCAGCCAAAAACGUUUAUUACCCUUAGUAUCAAUGAUCUUUGUUAUCGGCGAUUGUUGAUGACGUCAUCGCGUAUUGCGUCCUACCACCUUAAAGCUAGCUCUCCUAGCUCUCCAUAGACAUGUCGAUCACUUUUCUAGCGCAUUCAUAGGCUGAGAUAUGCGCCUGUAAAGUUGAGGAGGCGGGACCACUGAGCGUGUCUUCCUGAGGACGUCCAGUUCAGCUAGAAAGCUAGUUGGAGAGUACUGACAGUGUUUUCCCCUGUAUUAUUGUGUUAAAAACCGGUUAGAGCACUUUGUCUUUGCACAAUGGCUUCACAAAAGGUGUUUUUUGGUGUGAAUUCGGUUUUGGAGGAGCUUGAUCGUCUGAGUGACUGAAUCUUUCAGCAACACUAGCUUUGACGUGGUCAGAAAAGCUGCGUGGGACAGGAUCCACAUCUUCAACUAGACUGAGUGAUGAAGGAUGGAUAGUAGCUAACAAGUCAGCCAGGCACCUACAAGGAAGUGGUUUGGCCACCAGCACACCUCCCACCUCCAUCUCUAUCAUAAAAUUGUGAACAAAUACAAUAAAAAACACAAAGUAUUCCACUGAUGUGUUAAAAUGUAGGUGGUUUUCUGUUAAAUGAGACCAUUUUUAUCCAUUUACUCUAACAUAUAUGAGUAGGGCACUCUUUUUAAUUCAGGUAUGCCCAUUUUUUUCAGUACAAGUACACAUGGAGGCGCCAGUGCCAUCUUUCAGUUAAAUCUCAAUAAUUUUUGUUCAGAAGGAGAUAUUGAGCAGAUUCUUCUUUUCCCCGGUUUACUGCUACCCAGUGGAAUAAAAAUAAAUAUUCUGAAGGGACAUAGACCAAACAGAUCAUAAAUUACAGACUCUUAAAUCAAAUUUUGAUUUGAAAAAUAAAUAAAAAUGAUUUUUUUUCAUUUGUGUAUCAUAAAAUUGUGAAUAAAUACAAUAAAAUAAAUGCAAUAUUCCACCACUGUGUUAAAACUAUGAGAGUUUUCUUUAAAAUGAGACCAUUUUUAUCCUCUUAGUCCAACGUAUAUGAGCAGGGCACUCUUUUUAAUUCAGGUAUGCCCAAUUCUUUCAGAAACUGGAGACCGUAUUCACAUGGAGGCACUAACACCUCCUUUCAGUUUAAUCUCAAUAACUUUUGUUUAGAAAGAGAUAUUAGGAAGAUUAUUUUUUCCCCUAUUUUCUGCCACCUAGUGGAAUCAAAAGAAACUUUCUGCAGGUUUAUAGACGAAACGGAUCCUGAAUUACAGACUCUCAAAUAAAAACUUUAUUGAAAAAUAAAUAAAAAUCAGAUUUUUUUAUUUGUAUUUAUCAUAAAAUUGUGAAUAGAUACAAUAAAAUAUAUGCAAUAUUCCACUACUGUGUUAAAAUUUAGAGGGUGUUCUGUAAAAUGAAACUGUUUUUAUCCUUUUACUUCAAUUUUUAUGGGUAAGGUGCUCUUUUUGAUUCAGGUAUGUCCAAUUCUUUCAGAAAUCAAAAAUGGAGACGGUAAAGGUAUGCUUGGCGACACUAAUACCUCCUUUCGGUAAAAUCUUCAUAACUUUUGUUUAGAAGAAGAUAUCAAGUAGAUUCUUUUUUCCCCUGUUUACUGUUAACUAGUGUAAUGAAAAGAAACUUUCUGCAGGUUCAUAGACCAAACAGAUCUUACACUACAGACUCUCAAAUUUAAACAUAAUUGAAAAAUUAAUAAAAAUCUGACUUUUUAUUUGUGUUUAUCAUAAAAUUGUGAAUACAUACUAAAAGAUUUAAGUAAUAUUCCACUACUGUUUUAAAAUAUAGAGGGUGUUCUGUAAAAUGAGACCAUUUUUAUCCUUGUACUCCAAUUUAUGUGGGUAAGGCACUCUUUUUAAUUCGGGUAUGUCCAAUUCUUUCAGAAUUCAAAAAUAGAGACAGUAAAGGAACGCUUCGAGGUACCAAUACCUCCUUUCAGUAAAAUCUCAAUAACUUUUGUUUAGAAAGAGAUAUCAAGAAGAUUCUUUUUUCCCGUUUUCUGCCACCUAGUGGAAUAAAAAGAAACUUUCUGCAGGUUCAUAGACUAAACCUAUCCUAAAUUACAUAUUUUUAAUAAAAAUAAUAAUAAAAAAUUAUAUAAAAAUUUGACACUUUAUCUGUGUUUAUCAUAAAAUUAUGAAUAAAUACAAUAUAAUAUAUACAAUAUUCCACCACUGUGUUAAAAUAUAGAGGGUUUUCUGUAAAAUGAGACCAUUUUAAUCAAUUUACUGCAAUGUAUGUGGCUAGGGUGCUCUUUUAAAUUCAGAUAUGCCUAAUCCUCUAAAAAAAACCAAAAUGCUGCAGAGCUGAGGCCAAUUCAUCUGGAUAAAAAAAAAAAAAAAAAACACUAAAAUCACUUAAUUUAAAUUUUUAAUAUGAAUAUAUGUGUA